rnacentral:rRNA from 1 species
GAUGAACGCUGGCGGCGUGCCUAAUACAUGCAAGUAGAACGCUGAAGGAAGGAGCUUGCUCUUUCCGGAUGAGUUGCGAACGGGUGAGUAACGCGUAGGUAACCUGCCUGGUAGCGGGGGAUAACUAUUGGAAACGAUAGCUAAUACCGCAUAACAGUAGAUGUUGCAUGAUAUCUACUUAAAAGGUGCAAUUGCACCACUACCAGAUGGACCUGCGUUGUAUUAGCUAGUUGGUGAGGUAACGGCUCACCAAGGCGACGAUACAUAGCCGAGCUGAGAGGGUGAUCGGCCAAACUGGGACUGGGACACGGCCCAGACUCCUACGGGGGGCAGCAGUAGGGAAUCUUCGGCAAUGGACGGAAGUCUGACCGAGCAACGCCGCGUGAGUGAAGAAGGUUUUCGGAGCGUAAAGCUCUGUUGUAAGAGAAGAACGAGUGUGAGAGUGGAAAGUUCACACUGUGACGGUAUCUUACCAGAAAGGGACGGCUAACUACGUG